GCUACCUCAUUAGUGUCAGAAAGCCGGAGGGGUGCUGGCCAGGCUGCAGCAAGGGAACAACUGGAGGGAAGGAAGAGACAGAGGCAGAGCAGAGGACAGGGAGGGCCCUGGUUUCCUUCUCGCGUGUGUUUACGCCCUGUGAUCAGCCUCCAGUGAGGAACUGUGAGCGAAAGCAGCUGGAGCCCUGCAGAGGGAGGCAAGGGCACUGCCCGGAUGAGAGCGGCUGGCUUCUGAGGCCCUGCGAGUCCUCCAGCUCACACAGCUCUGCAGUGGAGCCCCAGGAGCUCAGCUACAGAAUCCGGAAACCUGAAGCCCCACAGUUAGGAUGGCUGGCAGCGGGCAGGAGGUGGUGCUGCUGCUUCUCCCUCCUCCUGAGGACUGGAGACCACAGAGCCCGAUGA
rnacentral:lncRNA from 1 species